GUGCUUAUUUUCUCUCUUUAUAUCUUUUUUGGUAAAAUUUUUUUUUUACCCACUUUCUGAUCAGAUUGUAGUUUUUUUUCUUGAGUUUGAGAGUUCUUUUUACACUCAAGAUACUGCUCCUUUAUUAAACCACUGAGCCACCAGGGCUGCCCAUUUUUCAAAAUUCUUUAAGCUAUUCUAGUUUCUUUGCCUUCCACAUAAAUUUUAGGAUACUGUUUGCAAAUAUUGUUUCCCAGUAGCUUUUCUUUUCACACUCUUCACAUGGGCUUAUUAGGAGCCUAAUAUUUAAAUUUUAAUGAGGUCCAAAUUCUUGAUUUUCCCUCUUAUGGAUCAUUUAGCAUCCAAUUCAAGAACUCUUUGGGGUGCCUGGCUGGCUGUAAAUUUGAGCCCCGUGUUGGAUGUAGAGAUUACUUAACAAUAAAAAUCUUUAGGGGCACCUGGGUGCCUCAAUUAAGCAUCUGGUUCAGGUCAUGAUCUCAGAGUCCUGGGAUUGAGCCCCACAUUGGGCUCCCUGCUCAGUGGGGAGUCUGCUUCUCCCUUUCCCUCUGUACCGUAUGUGCACAUGCUCUCUCUCUCUCAAAUAGAUAAACAGAAUCUUAAAAAACAAAACAAAACAAAACAAAACUAAGACGCUUGUUUAAAAAAAUCUUUAAGGGAUGCCUGGCUGGCUCAGCCGUUGAGCACCUGCCUUCGGCCCAGUGCAUGAUCCUGGGGUCCUGGGAUCGAGUCUCACAUUGGGCUCCCCGCAGGGAGCCUGCUUCUCCCUCUGCCUAUGUCUCUGCCUCUCUCUCUCUCUGUGUCUCUCAUGAAUAAAUAAAUAAAAUCUUUAGCAAAAAAAAAAACAAAAACAAAAACAAAAAAAACUCUUUGUUUCUUCAUAGAUCUUGAAAAUGUUCUAUUUUUAUAAAACAGUUUUAUAGUUUUAGUUUAUUUUUAGGUCCUUGGCCAUUCUGAGUUAAUUUUUGUUGUAGGUUAAGUCUCAUUUUGUGCCUAUGGCUAUCCAAUUACUCUAGCAUUUGUUGAAAAGGCUAUCUUUCCUCCACUGAAUAGCUUUGGUAACUUUGUCCAAAAAACCAAGUUUGGGCAUAUUUGUGAGCCUGUUCCUGGGAUCUAUAUUCUGUUCCAUUGAUCUAUGUGUCUAUCAUUCCACCUAUAGAGUAUACACAGCAUUGAUUAUUGUAGCUAUAUAAUAAAUAUAAAAAUUGUGUAGACUAAUUUCUCACACUUUUUUCUUUUUCAAAAAAAUUCUUUUUUAAGAUUUUUAUUUAUUUAUGAGAGACAGAGAGGCAGAGACAUAGGCAGAGGGAGGAGAAGCAGGCUCUAUGCAGGGAGCCCGACGUGGGACUCGAUCCUGGGUCUCCAAGAUCAGGCCUUGGGCUGAAGGUGGCACUAAACCACUGAGCCACCAGGGCUGCCCAUUUUUCAAAAUUCUUUAAGCUAUUCUAGUUUCUUUGCCUUCCACAUAAAUUUUAGGAAAAUCUUGUAAAUGUUUACCAAAAAUUUUGGGAUUUUGAUAGUAAUUACAUUAAACCUGCAUAUCAAUUUGGGGAAGAAGAUUCAAGUUCUCUCACAAAGCUGUGUUCACCAAGACAUUUUGGUACUGGCACAAAAACAGACACAUAGAUCAAUAGAACAGAAUAGAGAACCCAGAAAUGGACUCACAACUCUAUGGCCAACUAAUCUUUGACAAAGCGGGAAAGAAUAUCCAAUGGAUAAAAGACAGUGUCUUCAAUAAAUGGUGUUGGGAAAAUUGGACAGCCACAAGCAGAAGAAUGAAACUGGACCAUUUCCUUAUACCAUACAAAAAAAAAAAUAGACUAAAAAUGGAUAAAAAAAACCUAAAUGUGAGAUAGGAAUCCAUCAAAAUCCUAGAGAAGAACACAGGCAGCAAUCUCUGUGGCCUUGGCUGCAGCAACUUCUUGCUAGACAGGUCUUCAAACACAAGAGAAACAAAGGCAAAAAUGAACUAUUGGGACCUCAUCAAGAGAAAAAGCUUUUGCACAGCAAAGGAAACAGUAAAAAAAACCCCAAAAGACAACCGAUAGAAUGGGAGAAGAUAUCUGCAAAUGUCUUAUCAGAUACCGGGCUGGUAUCUAAAAUCUCUAAAGAAUUUACCAAACUCAAAAAAAAAAAAAAAAAAAAAAAAAAAAAAAG
rnacentral:lncRNA from 1 species